GGAUGUGAGGGUGAUCUGGCUGUGACAUCUGUCACCCCAUUGAUCACUAGGGUUGAUUCGGCUGAUCUGGCUGACUGGGCGGGUAUCCCCUUCUGCCCUCACCGCUCCGUGUGUGUCCCUCCAGAAGCUGUGCGCUUAGUGGAAGAGGAUGACCAUCCCCGAUAGAGGAGGAUCGGUCUUCAGUCAAAGGUAUAAGAGUAGCUGUGCUCCCCUGCUAGGACCUCCAAACAAGCUAUCAGAAUGUUAUUUUUCUGUCUUAUGUCCAACCCCUCGUUAAAGUGUUCAUAGUAAAAACAUAUUUUAGAAGUGGAAGCACAACCAAGAAAAACAUGAGCCUGGCUUUCCUGCCUCUCACUU
ensembl:misc_RNA 7SK 7SK RNA